AAUUCUCAACUCUCUUAUACUGUUUUGUAUAAAAGAGCUUGGAUUGUGGAGGCUGCUGGCCACUUGUUUGAGGUCAGCUCCUCUGAAAUGCAUUAGCGGAACCGUUUGCGAUCUGCCACAAGUGUGAUAAAUUAUCUACACUGGCGAGGGGAUUGCUCUCUGUGAUGUUCAGCUUCUAAUCGUCUCUAUAUGAGACUACUUUGAAU
rnacentral:misc_RNA from 1 species